UAUUGGACAAUGGGCGAAAGCCUGAUCCAGCCAUGCCGCGUGUGUGAAGAAGGUCUUCGGAUUGUAAAGCACUUUAAGUUGGGAGGAAGGGCAUUUACCUAAUACGUAAGUGUUUUGACGUUACCGACAGAAUAAGCACCGGCUAACCCUGUGCCAGCAGCCGCGGUAAUACAGAGGGUGCAAGCGUUAAUCGGAAUUACUGGGCGUAAAGCGCGCGUAGGUGGCUUGUUAAGUUGGAUGUGAAAUCCCCGGGCUCAACCUGGGAACUGCAUUCAAAACUGACAAGCUAGAGUAUGGUAGAGGGUGGUGGAAUUUCCCGUGUAGCGGUGAAAUGCGUAGAUAUAGGAAGGAACACCAGUGGCGAAGGCGACCACCUGGACUGAUACUGACACUGAGGUGCGAAAGCGUGGGGGGCAAACAGG
rnacentral:rRNA from 1 species